rnacentral:tRNA from 1 species
UGGCUCAGCUGGUAGAGCGUGAGACUCUUGAUCUCAGGGUUGCGAGUUCAAGCCCCAC